AAUCAACGCUGGCGGCGUGCCUAACACAUGCAAGUCGAACGCGAAAGUCCCGCAAGGGAUCAGUAGAGUGGCAAACGGGUGAGUAACGCGUGGGUGACCUGCCUUCGAGCGGGGGAUAACGUCCCGAAAGGGACGCUAAUACCGCAUAACAUCCUGCCUUUUAACAGGCGGAGAUCAAAGCUGGGGAUCGCAAGACCUAGCACUCGAUGAGGGGCCCGCGUCUGAUUAGCAGUUGGUGAGGUAACGGCUCACCAAGGCGACGAUCAGUAUCCGGCCUGAGAGGGCGGACGGACACACUGGGACUGAGACACGGCCCAGACUCCUACGGGAGGCAGCAGUGGGGAAUCUUGCGCAAUGGGCGAAAGCCUGACGCAGCGACGCCGCGUGAGGGAUGACGG
rnacentral:rRNA from 1 species